UACAGAGGGUGCAAACGUUGUUCGGAAUUACUGGGCAUAAAGCGCGCGUAGGCGGCUCCGUAAGUGCGGUGUGAAAUCCCACGGCUCACCCGUGGAACUGCGCCGUAUACUGCAGGGCUAGAGCAUGGUAGAGGAGGGCGGAACUCCUGGUGGAGCGGUGAAAUGCGUAGAUAUCAGGAGGAACACCGGUGGCGAAGGCGGCCCUCUGGUCCAUUGCUGACGCUGAGGCGCGAAAGCCAGGGUAGCAAACGGG
rnacentral:rRNA from 1 species